rnacentral:tRNA from 1 species
GGCGGAUGUAGCCAAGGGGAUCAAGGCAGUGNAAUUUGUGAAUCC